rnacentral:rRNA from 1 species
AGAGUUUGAUCAUGGCUCAGGACGAACGCUGGCGGCGUGCCUAACACAUGCAAGUCGAGCGGGGAGAAGAAUUCGUUUUUCUCUUUAGCGGCGGACGGGUGAGUAACACGUGGGUAACCUGCCUCAAAGAGGGGGAUAGCCUUCCGAAAGGAAGAUUAAUACCGCAUAAUAUCAGGAAGCUGCAUGGCAUUCUGAUCAAAGGAGCAAUCCGCUUUGAGAUGGACCCGCGGCGCAUUAGCUAGUUGGUGAGGUAACGGCCCACCAAGGCGACGAUGCGUAGCCGACCUGAGAGGGUGAUCGGCCACAUUGGAACUGAGACACGGUCCAGACUCCUACGGGAGGCAGCAGUGGGGAAUAUUGCACAAUGGGGGAAACCCUGAUGCAGCAACGCCGCGUGAGUGAUGAAGGCCUUCGGGUCGUAAAGCUCUUUGAUCAGGGACGAUAAUGACGGUACCUGAAAAACAAGCCACGGCUAACUACGUGCCAGCAGCCGCGGUAAUACGUAGGUGGCGAGCGUUGUCCGGAUUUACUGGGCGUAAAGAAUGCGUAGGUGGAUAUUUAAGUGGGAUGUGAAAUCCCCGGGCUCAACCCGGGAACUGCAUACCAAACUGGAUAUCUGGAGUGCAGGAGAGGAAAGCGGAAUUCCUAGUGUAGCGGUGAAAUGCGUAGAUAUUAGGAGGAACACCAGUGGCGAAGGCGGCUUUCUGGACUGUAACUGACACUGAGGCAUGAAAGCGUGGGGAGCAAACAGGAUUAGAUACCCUGGUAAUCCACGCCGUAAACUAUGGGUACUAGGUGUAGGGGGUAUCGACUCCCCCUGUGCCGCC